GGCUCUGUAGCUCAGUUUGGUUAGAGCACCAGAAUUUGGAUCUGGGUGUCGGGGGUUCAAAUCCCUCCAGGGCCA
rnacentral:tRNA from 1 species